ACACGCAUGACACACUGCAUAUCAAUAAGCGGAGGAAAAGAAACUAACAAGGAUUCCCUUAGUAACGGCGAGUGAAGCGGGAAGAGCUCAAAUUUGAAAUCUCAAGGUUCUACCUUGACGAAUUGUAGUUUAUAGAAGUGUUUUCUGUUAGUAGAGUUGGCUAAAAGUUCUUUGGAAUAGGACAUCAUAGAGGGUGAGAAUCCCGUAUUUGACCAUUAUUUUCAGCUGUGUGAUACACUUUCAAAGAGUCGGAUUGUUUGGGAAUGCAGUCCAAAAUGGGUGGUAAAUUUCAUCUAAAGCUAAAUAUUGGCGAGAGACCGAUAGCGAACAAGUACCGUGAGGGAAAGAUGAAAAGAACUUUGAAAAGAGAGUUAAACAGUACGUGAAAUUGUCAAAAGGGAAGCGUUUGACACCAGUGUUGUUUUCUCGAAAAUCAAUUAGAAAAGGCCGGAUUUUGUGUUGUAUUGACCUUAAAAGCUUCCUUCACUCUUUUCUUGUCUUUUUUAAUGCACUUUUCGUUUAACAAGUCAACAUCAGUUUCUUUUGUUGUAAAAGGGUCAUUGGAAGGUGGCUUUCUUUUCGGAGAAAGUGUUUAUAGCCUUUGAUCUCUGCAACCGGAGAGACUGAGGUCUGCAGCGUAGACUCUUCGGGGUUAGAUACAUUUGUGCUAAGCUAUAGCUUUUUAUAGACAACUUGUUGACUAUAUUUAGUCUUGUGGCUUACUCGCUUAUGCUAUUUUACCUACGCUUAGGAUGUUGAGCGCAUGUCUCUCUCU
rnacentral:rRNA from 1 species